rnacentral:rRNA from 1 species
GAUGAACGCUGGCGGCGUGCCUAAUACAUGCAAGUCGAGCGAACAGACGAGGAGCUUGCUCCUCUGACGUUAGCGGCGGACGGGUGAGUAACACGUGGAUAACCUACCUAUAAGACUGGGAUAACUUCGGGAAACCGGAGCUAAUACCGGAUAAUAUAUUGAACCGCAUGGUUCAAUAGUGAAAGACGGUUUUGCUGUCACUUAUAGAUGGAUCCGCGCCGCAUUAGCUAGUUGGUAAGGUAACGGCUUACCAAGGCGACGAUGCGUAGCCGACCUGAGAGGGUGAUCGGCCACACUAGAACUGAGACACGGUCCAGACUCCUACGGGAGGCAGCAGUAGGAAAUCUUCCGCAAUGGGCGAAAGCCUGACGGAGCAACGCCGCGUGAGUGAUGAAGGUCUUCGGAUCGUAAAACUCUGUUAUUAGGGAAGAACAAAUGUGUAAGUAACUAUGCACGUCUUGACGGUACCUAAUCAGAAAGCCACGGCUAACUACGUG